CACACAAAAAAACACUCUCCCCUUUUUUUCUCUCUCCUUAAUCAGCCGUGGAGAUCUAGGAGCUCCCACCGGCCACCGUACAUCGGUGGCAAUUCCCUAUAUUUAAUUGUCAUCCACGACGAUUGGAGAACCCAAACCGACUAAAAAAUGUUUGAUUUCUCCCCCAAAGCCCGGAUCCGAGCCUAAAAAGCAUAAAAAGACUACCCACUCUCAUAUUUCUUCUUAAAACUAGAUUUAAACUAACCCUAAACUAGAAACCCUAAAACUCCUAAAAGGGCUUGACCCUUCGAUCUCUAAUCUUCAAUAAGACCCCAAACGAUAUGGUGAAAGUAUAGAGACCCCCUGUUUGGAUUCAGACUGCUCUGAUAAGUUUGGCGAGAUCGUACGGGCAUGUUUGGCGUUGAUGGAGCGGGUGGCGGCAGUUUGGGUAGAGAUGGUAACAUAUACCCCAGAUAUUAAGGGAUUUAUGUUUUUAACUUUUGUUUUUUUCUUUUUUUGUAAUGAAUAAUAAAAAAUAAUAAUAUAUUGAGAUAAAAAUGGUGAUUACUCA